UACGAAGGGGGCUAGCGUUGCUCGGAAUCACUGGGCGUAAAGCGCACGUAGGCGGAUUGUUAAGUCAGGGGUGAAAUCCUGGAGCUCAACUCCAGAACUGCCUUUGAUACUGGCGAUCUUGAGUCCGGGAGAGGUGAGUGGAACUCCGAGUGUAGAGGUGAAAUUCGUAGAUAUUCGGAAGAACACCAGUGGCGAAGGCGGCUCACUGGCCCGGUACUGACGCUGAUGUGCGAAAGCGUGGGGAGCAAACAGGGAUUAAGAUACCCGUGGUACG
rnacentral:rRNA from 1 species